rnacentral:rRNA from 1 species
GACGAACGCUGGCGGCGUGCUUAACACAUGCAAGUCGAACGGAAAGGCCCUGCUUUUGUGGGGUGCUCGAGUGGCGAACGGGUGAGUAACACGUGAGUAACCUGCCCUUGACUUUGGGAUAACUUCAGGAAACUGGGACUAAUACCGGAUAGGAGCUCCUGCUGCAUGGUGGGGGUUGGAAAGUUUCGGCGGUUGGGGAUGGACUCGCGGCUUAUCAGCUUGUUGGUGGGGUAGUGGCUUACCAAGGCUUUGACGGGUAGCCGGCCUGAGAGGGUGACCGGCCACAUUGGGACUGAGAUACGGCCCAGACUCCUACGGGAGGCAGCAGUGGGGAAUAUUGCACAAUGGGCGGAAGCCUGAUGCAGCAACGCCGCGUGCGGGAUGACGGCCUUCGGGUUGUAAACCGCUUUCGCCUGUGACGAAGCGUGAGUGACGGUAAUGGGUAAAGAAGCACCGGCUAACUACGUGCCAGCAGCCGCGGUGAUACGUAGGGUGCGAGCGUUGUCCGGAUUUAUUGGGCGUAAAGGGCUCGUAGGUGGUUGAUCGCGUCGGAAGUGUAAUCUUGGGGCUUAACCCUGAGCGUGCUUUCGAUACGGGUUGACUUGAGGAAGGUAGGGGAGAAUGGAAUUCCUGGUGGAGCGGUGGAAUGCGCAGAUAUCAGGAGGAACACCAGUGGCGAAGGCGGUUCUCUGGGCCUUUCCUGACGCUGAGGAGCGAAAGCGUGGGGAGCGAACAGGCUUAGAUACCCUGGUAGUCCACGCUGUAAACGGUGGGUACUAGGUGUGGGGUCCAUUCCACGGGUUCCGUGCCGUAGCUAACGCUUUAAGUACCCCGCCUGGGGAGUACGGCCGCAAGGCUAAAACUCAAAGGAAUUGACAGGGCCCCGCACAAGCGGCGGAGCAUGCGGAUUAAUUCGAUGCAACGCGUAGAACCUUACCUGGGUUUGACAUGGAUCGGGAGUGCUCAGAGAUGGGUGUGCCUCUUUUGGGGUCGGUUCACAGGUGGUGCAUGGCUGUCGUCAACUCGUGUCGUGAGAUGUUGGGUUAAGUCCCGCAACGAGCGCAACCCUUGUUCACUGUUGCCAGCACGUUAUGGUGGGGACUCAGUGGAGACCGCCGGGGUCAACUCGGAGGAAGGUGGGGAUGACGUCAAGUCAUCAUGCCCCUUAUGUCCAGGGCUUCACGCAUGCUACAAUGGCUGGUACAGAGAGUGGCGAGCCUGUGAGGGUGAGCGAAUCUCGGAAAGCCGGUCUCAGUUCGGAUUGGGGUCUGCAACUCGACCUCAUGAAGUCGGAGUCGCUAGUAAUCGCAGAUCAGCAACGCUGCGGUGAAUACGUUCCCGGG